rnacentral:rRNA from 1 species
UACGUAGGGUGCGAGCGUUAAUCGGAAUUACUGGGCGUAAAGCGUGCGCAGGCGGUUUUGUAAGCCAGAUGUGAAAUCCCCGGGCUUAACCUGGGAAUGGCAUUUGGGACUGCAAGGCUUGAGUGCGGCAGAGGGAGGUGGAAUUCCACGUGUAGCAUUGAAAUGCGUAGAGAUGUGGAGGAACACCGAUGGCGAAGGCAGCCUCCUGGGCCAGCACUGACGCUCAUGCACGAAAGCGUGGGGAGCAAACAGG